UUGAGCAUAAGUCCGUUGUGGAUUGUUCUAGAUGUUCCCAUCCAUCGGUUGGCUAUAGUCUAGACACUACAAAUUCACAAGGCCGCUCCC
rnacentral:sRNA from 1 species